CUUCUGCAGCUCCGCGCCCUCGAUUAGUCCCAUUUGAGGAGCCUUGCUCUGCGCCUCCGGACGCUGGAGGAGGCGCUCAUGUGCUGGGAGUCAAAGGGCCUGAGGCGGGGUGCUGCUGCAGUGAAGAGAGUGGUGACGUCAUCGGUGACAGCAGCGAGUGUUUGAAAGAGGGUUAGCGACAUUGAGAGCUGUUCAGACUAUGAGAAAGUGUGUGGAAGAGGAUUUGGUGACUUGAACUGGUGCUUCAAGGAAAGCCUAAAGUCCAAGUUCCACUCUUGCUCUCACAGUCUGCACAGCUCUCUGUAUCUCUUCCCCUAGUAUAUGUCUACAGCUGGUUGACGCAAACGAGGUUUAACAGCUAUAGAUGGCGGUCGAUUCUGCUCGUUUAGUUCGAUUUGGAAAUUGGCAUCCUGACUGAUGACAGAACUAUGACUAGUACCAUGGCUUCUUCUCCUCUCUGUAAAGAGUGCUAUUACUGCGGCAAAAACUCGCGAAGGUGUUCCCUCCAUGUUUCGUGAUACACCGACUUGUUGCAGGCUUAUCGUCUGGCGAAUUUCCGCAACCUUAUUCUUGUCCCCCACCUGCUUGACGAUUACACUACCCUGCUUAUUUCUUUCUGACCCUGUGAGCAUGUGUUUGGGGAGCAAUUUUAUAUUCUUGAAUCACAUCUAGUACCUUGAACCAAAAAUCGGAUAGAUACUGGGUCUGAUUCGUUUUGAACCGAUGAAUUAUUCUGUUUGUUGUGCUAGCCUUACACUUGUUGAUUGAUUUUCCAAGAUUCAUGACCCACCUGCCGUUCUCAACUUUCAGAUUUCUCCACUAAGCUAACGUGCGAAGGUCUUGUGUUCAUUAAAUUCCACAGAGCUCUCGGACUUUGUGUAUUCUGCUGCGGAAGUUAUGAGCAGAUUUGAAAUUACUUUUGGUACGUGGGUUGUAGAGGUCAGUGGAGACUAUUUGUAGCCUCUAAGUGUGCUAGAGAGAAGAGACUGUGAGUUAGUGGUUCUUCAUCAUAUGUUCUCGUAGCCUUAAUCAUCUGAUGAUAAUCCUUGUUGUCAUUCAAAUGAUCUCUACGAUUCGUCACUCUUCAGAAGGUAGCAGACAACUGGCUGAAACCGGUUCAUUCUGACACUGUCAUGUAUGUACUCUCAAGGAGAUUUUUAUUUCUUACAUGCAUGCGAUAGAGUAAUGAGGUUUGGAGGUGGCUAAUGCAGUGAUAGUGUCGUCUAUUAUGUUUUAAUUGCGAUCCCCACCUAUAUGCAGGAUCACAUCACUAGUGACCACUUGUGUGCCUUCAUCCUUAUAUUUAUAUUUGCUUAGCAGUUUUGCAAAACUGAGUGACCGUCGUUACUAGUGCCCCAUGAAACGCAGGUCCACUUCUCGAGAGCACCGUUGGUGUGGUUUUCUUGUACAGACGAUGAACUGGAAGCGAGGAAAAUUGAGAGCGUGCGAUUUAGGCUGUGAUACUUCCUAGCAUUCCAAGCUUGAUCUGGCUAGCAUGAUGCCCUUUUGCUGUGAAAUACAGCACAGUGCAGCAAUCAUCGAGAUAAACUCUCGAUGCACACAAUAAUACAAAACUGUCAUUGCAGAGUUCAUUUUCAGAAAAAUUCCUGCCGAGUGAGCUAAAUAGUUCGGGCAUUUGCAGUCCUUACACGAGAAAAUCUAGUAGCUGAUCCACAAACUAAAAUAGAAGAUGAUAUUCUCAAACCAGUGAUACAGGAGUAGUAUUUAUUAAGUGGCAACCGAGUUUCCUUGUUUAACAAAAAAACCUCUACUUGCCAAAAACUGUCGAUCAGUCUUGACCUUUCAUGCCACCAUGUAAGAUCAAAUCCACUUUACUCAAAUGAGUGUAUCUUUGAGGGUUUCUCUAGUCAAGAGCAUAAGAUCGAAGUCUCUUUACCCAAGUGAGUGUAGCUUUGAGGGUUUCUCUAGUCAAGAUCACAAGAAUAGCUAAAUUUUUAAUAUUAUUCUAGUAUGAGUGAUUUAAGCAGAAAAUAGUCACUCGUUUUUCGACCGAAGAGUUGUAUUGUACUUCUGUGAUCUGUAGGAUAAGACAGAUUCGUAAAAGUUAUAGUAUACGUUUGCGACUGGAAAUGUCAUGAGCGGAGAUAUUGCACAAGUUUCUCCUUGCAAGAUAUCCUUCAGUAAACGAGGCAACAGCCUCAGAUAUUUAAGACUCGUAAA